GUUUGCUUAUUCUUCACGCACGCUAACGGCUAUAAGAUGUAGGGGUUCGCGGUUUACUCAAAUGUUCGUUGCUCUCCCUCUCUUUGGCGCAUCUUCAGUUCAUGGAGUCAACCAUCCAGGCUCUUAUCGCAUUCUGGGUACCACCGUCCCUCUGUUUCACCCCAUUCUCAAUCUCGCUCUUUCAAUUUUGCGAUCGUCAUUCCAAGUUUCUGGUAAACUCACCGACUCCCAUUGAUCGGCAUAAGUUUGUUCUUAUCCAUCUUUUUAAGGCUUUUGGGUACUUCGAAACCCUAAAUUUUUGGGGAGUACUAUGCUGGUCGUACUGAAGAAAUUUUGAUUUUCGUAACUAUCGGUUUCUGUUUCUUUUAUUUUUUCGCUCUCGAUUUGGAAUUCGGAAAUUUGGAGUGUCUAAAUGAUUUCAUAGCUAGCCAGAGCCACGAAGCUGGAUAAGGUUGAGGUACUCUUAGAUUUGAAUGCCUGUUGUUGCCAAAGUUGCGUCUCGUGGUUUCGGCUGGUUAUAGGAAUUUACUGCAGGAUGGCUUAGCAUGCAGUAGUUGUGUAACAUCAGAGACUGUCAUGCUGCCAUAGCCUCACUUGAUAUCCACUUUGGCAUCUCCUCGCUGAAGGUACAUGCAGUUUUUGUAAUAUUUUCUGUGAGUUUUUCCAGAGGAUUUUUCCAAGUAAUUGAUAUCAUGUGUGCCCUAGCGCUAAUCUUAACUCACUGCCUGAACCUUGCGUCUUCUCUAAGGUGCUAGUAUUUUGGCUCUGGAAAUGUAACCGAUGGCCUGAAGUUGUUGAUUUACAAGAUGUGUGGGGGCCAUGGAUGAGUCAGAUGGCGAGAUUACAACAAGCUUCGAGAGAGGGCUUUUACUACAUACAGUAUUUUAUUGGGAAACAUAGAGGAAUAAGUAUGGAUUCUCCUACCCUAGCUUCACUUGAGUGCCAUAUAUCAGAUCAGCUUGCUAMGCGGAGGGGUGAUCUAUGCAUUGGAUCUUUGAUAAAAUGCCUCAGGUUAUAAUUAUUUUUGUUUUGUGAGAUUAUUAUGUAUUUCCUUCAUGGUAUAGAAUAUAUAAAUGAGAUGGGCUAGGGUAGUUGCUUCAAUUUCUGGACUGUUUUUGGUUUCAUUUAGAUGCAAAGUACCUUAAGCGUGCAUUGAAGAAUUGUAUAAGACAACCUAAUCAAUUUUAACUAUUAUUAAGAGUUGAUACAAGAGAYSAUAACAUUAUUUUUCGCGUUGGAAACGUGACCAUAGUCCAACAUUGGCUAGAUAAAGGGAAGAUAUUAGACAUAUAAGUUAGAGACAACCUCUCUAUAUGAAUGAUGCCUUUUGGAUGAUACAAAAAACAAAACYAUUAGGUCUUACGCCCAAAGUGGAAAAUAUAGUAUCAACGGGGAUGUGGAGGGAAGUCCCUUGUCCCUAACAAAUGGUAUUAGAGUCAUGCCUUUAACCUUGUCAUGUGGGAAGAAUGCUCGGGUGCCUAUCUACCCUAUAUGUUUAGUAUUAAAACACCAAUUCUCAAAAUUUUCAACACAGAGAGGGAUGUUCCCAAAAAAAAAAUUUAAACACUGAACAGAAUUUCUUUAGGUUCUCUUUGUCAUUUUUGCCUAGAAUCAAAGUGUCAUCUGCAAAUUGAAUAGAAGAGAUUAUAACCUUAAUUUCYUGUUGGAAAYGCAACCAAAGUCGAACAUUGAMUUAGAUAAAGGGAAGAUCUUGGAUAUAUAAGUUAGRGACAAYAUCUCUAUAURAAUGAGGCUUUUUGGGUGAUACCAAAAGCUAAACCAUGUGGGCUUAUGCCUGAAGUGGACAAUAUCUUAUCGGAGAUGUGGAGGGUGGUUCAUUGUCCCUAACAAAUAGUAUCAGAGUCAUUCCCUUAAUCUUGUCAUGUGGGUAGAGUGCUCGAGUGUCUAAUCACCCAAUAAGUUUUGCAUCAAUGCACCAUCUCUYGAAGUUCUUGAAGACCUAUAGGGAUGCUCCCAAAAUAAUUUUAACACUGAAAAGCAAUUCUCUUGGUUCUUUUUGUCAUWUUUUCCAAGUAUCAUAGUGUCAUCUUUAAAUUAGAUAUAAGAGAUCAUGACCUUAUUUUCCCCUGUUGGGAACGCGACCUAAAGUCCAACAUUGGCUAGAUAAAGAGAAGAUCUUUGAUAUUUAAGGUAGCGACAACAUCUCUAUAUGUAUGAGGUCUUUUGGGUGAUACCAAAAGCGAAACCAUGAGGGCUUAUGCCCAAAGUGGAUAAUAUUAUWUYAAUGGAGAUGUGGAGGGUGGUUCCUUGUCCCUAYCAAAUGGUAUCAAAGUCUUUCCCUUAAUCUUGUCAUUUGGAUARAAUGCUCAGUUGACUAACCAUGCAAUAGGCUUUGAAUCAAUCCACCACCUCUCGAAUUUUUUGAAGACCUAGUGGGAUGCUCCCAAAAGAAUUUUAACACUGAAAAGCAAUUCUUUUGGUUCUUUUUGUCAUUUUUUUCCAAGUAUCAUAAUGYCAUCUUGAAAUUGGAUAUAGGAGAUAUAAUCUUACUUUCCCCUGUUGGGAAUGCGACCAAAGUCUAACAUUGGCUAGGUAAAGGAAAGAUCUUUGAUAUAUAAGUGAGGGACAACAUCUUUAUAUGAAUGAGGCUUUUUGGGUGAUACCAAAGCUAAACCAUGAGGGCUUAUGCCCGAAGUGGACAAUAUCAUAUCGGAGAUGUGGAGGGUGGUUCCUUGUCCCUAACAAAUAGUAUUAGAGUCAUUUGCUUAAUCUUGUCACGUGGAAAAUAUCUGAGACAAAUGGCCUACAAGACAUUUCAAAAUAUCUGAGACAAAUGGCCUACAAGACGUUUCAAAAUAUCUGAGACAAAUGGCCUACAAGACAUUUCAUAAUAAAAAUAAAUAAACUAAACAUAUAUUUAUAUAUAUCGGGCAAAUUGCACAGACUACCUCUUAAGUAGGUAACAUAUGGAAAUGGUGGAGUUUAAAUCCGAGUAGUGCAGUGGAAGCGUGGUGGUUUUCUUACUUAGUCCUCGUUUGGAAAGUUGAAAAUCCUGGAGCGUUACAGUUGGUAUCAGAGUCUAGUAGCACGUUAGGACCUUGGUAAUCCAUGCUCAAAAGAACCAUGGUUUCAAGAAAACGUUAUUUUGAGGGAAAAAAAUAAGAGAGGAAAAUUUAUAUAAAAAAUUAAACUAACAUACUUUAGUUUGCUUAAUUCCCUUGGCUCGUGAUAUCUUAAUAAUUAUAUAAUCAAAAUUAGAAUAGCAGGAUCAACAUUUGAGCAAGAAUAUAUCAACCUAAGCAUGGCUAACCAGGUUAAGGCAUAUAUUUCAAACAAAAAAUUGUGGGUUUGAAUCCUCACCCUAUAUGUUGUUAAUACUCAAAAAAAAGGAGGUUUGAAUGAGGAUAAAAGCAACCCUGAGACAUAAUACGACAUGACAUUUAUCACCAUCUUCUCUUCACGUCCCAUGAGAUUAUAUCAAAUGAAUUAAUAUAUUUUCUCCAUCUUGUUUAGUUCCUAUGAG